rnacentral:rRNA from 1 species
AUUGAACGCUGGCGGCAGGCCUAACACAUGCAAGUCGAGCGGAUGAAGGGAGCUUGCUCCUGGAUUCAGCGGCGGACGGGUGAGUAAUGCCUAGGAAUCUGCCUGGUAGUGGGGGAUAACGUCCGGAAACGGGCGCUAAUACCGCAUACGUCCUGAGGGAGAAAGUGGGGGAUCUUCGGACCUCACGCUAUCAGAUGAGCCUAGGUCGGAUUAGCUAGUUGGUGGGGUAAAGGCCUACCAAGGCGACGAUCCGUAACUGGUCUGAGAGGAUGAUCAGUCACACUGGAACUGAGACACGGUCCAGACUCCUACGGGAGGCAGCAGUGGGGAAUAUUGGACAAUGGGCGAAAGCCUGAUCCAGCCAUGCCGCGUGUGUGAAGAAGGUCUUCGGAUUGUAAAGCACUUUAAGUUGGGAGGAAGGGCAGUAAGUUAAUACCUUGCUGU